GAUGAACGCUAGCGGCAGGCUUAACACAUGCAAGUCGAGGGGUAGAAGUUGCUUGCAACUUUGAGACCGGCGCACGGGUGCGUAACGCGUAUGCAAUCUACCUUAUACAGAGGGAUAGCCCAGAGAAAUUUGGAUUAAUACCUCAUAGUAUAAUUGAAUGGCAUCAUUUAAUUAUUAAAGUUCCAACGGUAUAAGAUGAGCAUGCGUCCUAUUAGCUAGAUGGUAAGGUAACGGCUUACCAUGGCAACGAUAGGUAGGGGUCCUGAGAGGGAGAUCCGCCACACUGGUACUGAAACACGGACCAGACUCCUACGGGAGGCAGCAGUGAUGAAUAUUGGACAAUGGGCGCAAGCCUGAUCCAGCCAUGCCGCGUGCAGGAAGAAGCAUCUAUGGUGUGUAAACUGCUUUUGUACGGGAAGAAACACCCCUUCGUGGAGGGACUUGACGGUACCGUAAGAAUAAGGAUCGGCUAACUCCGUGCCAGCAGCCGCAGUAACAC
rnacentral:rRNA from 1 species